CGAUUAAGACUUCCUUCGGGAAGUGCAUAAAGUGGCGCACGGGUGAGUAACACGUAAGUAAUCUACCUUCGAGUGGGGAAUAACGUCCGGAAACGGACGCUAAUACCGCAUAAUGCAGCGGCAUCGUAAGAUGACAGUUGUUAAAGGGGCAAUUCGCUUGAAGAGGAGCUUGCGGCAGAUUAGCUAGUUGGUAAGGUAAUGGCUUACCAAGGCUACGAUCUGUAACCGGUCUAAGAGGACGGUCGGUCACACUGACACUGAAUAACGGGUCAGACUCCUACGGGAGGCAGCAGUCGGGAAUUUUGGGCAAUGGGCGAAAGCCUGACCCAGCAACGCCGCGUGAAGGAUGAAGUAUUUCGGUAUGUAAACUUCGAAAGAAUAGGAAGAAUUAAUGACGGUACUAUUUAUAAGGUCCGGCUACUACGUGCCAGCAGCCGCGGUCAUACGUAGGGACCAAGCGUUGUUCGGAUUUACUGGGCGUAAAGGGCGCGUAGGCGGCAUGACAAGUCACUUGUGAAAUCUCCGGGCUUAACUCGGAACGGUCAAGUGAUACUGUCGCGCUAGAGUGCGGAAGGGGCAAUCAGAAUUCUUGGUGUAGCGGUGAAAUGCGUAGAUAUCAAGAGGAAUACCUGAGGUGAAGACGGGUUGCUAGGCCGACACUGACGCUGAAGCGCGAAAGCCAGGGGAGCAAACGGGAUUAGAUACCCCGGUAGUCCUGGCCCUAAACGAUGAAUACUUGGUGUCUGGAGU
rnacentral:rRNA from 1 species